UGGGGCUGGGUGCGCUCUGCUGCCUCCUGGACUGCAGGGUGCGGGUUUCUCACCAGCGUUCUCGCCUUUUAAAAUGAGUAUUAGAUUUAAGAUCGCUACUGCCUGUCCGCUAACAGAAGCUGCUAUAAAUUUAGCGCAGAAAUGCCGCACCGUUGCUAACCUGUAUUUCGUUUUUAAUUUCAACAUGUGUUUCUAGCAGUCAUUUAUGGCAUUUUUCUCGUGCAGAACUCUCACUUCUUUGAGAUAGUCAUAAAAUCUGCAGACAUCCCUAGGGCUAGAAUCUGAAUCUGGGUGUCGUUGCUCCCCAGACUUUGGAUAAGACACUCGAAAUCGUGAAGUGGCUUUUAACUCUUGUUUAUUGUCUUUUUACAGAUUCACAGCCUGUUCUGAGUUGGAAGGGAUCCACAAGGAUCCUCGACUCCAGCUCUUAAGUAAAUGUCCCGUAUGGGGAUGCACCCACUACCUUGGCGUUACCAGCUUCAUGUUCUAACCAACUGCAACUCGAGGAAAUUAACAAAUCUAACUACACAUAUCAGUGUGUUCUGUCAAUGAACCCACACAUCACCAUGAAGACAUCACAACAUCCCUGCUGUAUGCUGAUCUGCUUGAGCAUUUUGAAGCCCGUAUUUCCUGGUCUGGUGGAAAUAUUUGUAGUGGAGAUAUUUAAGUGCAAGCUCUGCCAUUUCACAAGCAGGAUCAAAAGUAAGAUCAGGAGACACCUGGCUCAAAUCCGUGAAACUAAUAUGGCAUGUCAAAUUUCAGGCUGCCCUAAAAUGGACCAAGGUAAAAAUUAGUUAUAUAGCAUUGGAGAUGAAAAGAAUGAGAAGAAAGAAAAUAGUGGAGAAAAUUACUCUCUUGUUGCCUGUGUAUCAGAUGCCUUAAAAUAAAAGUCCUUGCUCUUGUGACAUGAGCUCAAGCAUAAUCCUCAUGCAUCUCACUCCUGUGAAAUGAACACCUGGUUUGGAGAAGUAGCAGCUUAUUUUCAACUUGAGGAACCUUGCAGUGCUGACUUCUCUUUUCUUGGAAGAGAAGGGACAGAUAAACCCAGUCUAUGCCUCUCAGCAUCUGUCACAUUUCCAGUGUUAGAACCCAGACAUUUGCUGGGGAAAUUAAAAGCCCCUAAGGCUCAAUCAAGGUGUAAACAUCAUAGAAAAAUCAGUUGAAAUCUGGAUCUAAAGGCUCAACUCACCCUAUAGAAGAUGCUUAUGCCUCAGAAGCUGGGUUCUGAGAAAAAGCAUAAUUUAUUCAUGUGUGGAAUGUAGCCCUAGAGCCGCAAGAUGCUGAGGAAAUCCAUGUAACAAGUCAUGUGGAUCAUGGCUUUAAAUGUGCUUAUUGUCACAUGACUGAGUAGAUCUUAAUGGAAAAUUAUUGAAAAUUACACAUGUGGCCUACCAGUGCUCCAUCUGUGAAAGUGCUUUUAUAUCACUUGAUAAAGUGCCUGGAAAGUGCAUAGAAACAGCCAUGAGAGGAAAUCUCAUCUCAGUGCACAUCAUCUGAAACUGAGCUGAUAAGCAGUCUUCAUAUAGCCUGCUUGGCAUUAUCAGGAUAUGGUUAUGUGCCCACACAGUGAUUUUACCAGUAAGUCAGGUUUUAUUUUUUGCUCUCAUCCAGUUGCUUCCUCAGCUUAAACUUAUUGCUGCAAAUAACUUUGGUCAAUGCAAAAUGUAUGGGAGCCUUUCAGUAUGAACUGUAAAUGCUAUCAUCAGAAAUCUUGAAUGACAGUGCACAAAGGUAGUGUGGGCAUUUUACUGUUUGACCACUCAGUAUUGCAGGUGGUUGCAGUGAUUAAUUGAUUUUAGCAAGGUUUCCCUGGCUGCUGCUGGCGUAUAAACCAAGUUCUUGCUUUGUAGGUUGAACUACUGCUUUGGUUCUGACUGCUCAGAACCAAAGCAAGUGAAAGAACCUGGCCAAGGGAAAGAACAGGUGAUUGUGAAAUAAGGUGAUGGCUCAUGGGUGUGCCCUGGAGUUUGUGGCAGUGGUCAGAUUAACAUAUUUGCUGUGAUUUUAAGCUACUGUAACAAACCAUGGCUUUUAAUACAACUAAGGAAAGGAUCAAGGUCUGCAAGCAUCUGUGCAAGCACAGACCCUUCAGAGUUACUCGCUUCAGCUCCUUCAUAACAUCCUUACAUGUGUUAGUGGUGUCUUGACCGAACCAUCCUGGUGCACACCAAAUUGGAGAGUCAGGUUAAAAAAAACCCCAAACAACACAACAAAUGAACAAACAAAAACCAAUUCAAACAAAUGACUUUUCUUGAGAAGCUUUAUUUUGUGUGUUUCACAAACAUAGCACAGAAUGAGGAGCAAGGUUUAUUUCCUCUACAACAUUGUCUUUCAUCACCUGAAAGUUUCAUAUCUCAGGUUUUUAAGUCUUUCCAUCACUGAUGGUAUAAUAAAGUAUUGGUAUAGUGUAUUUUGGGUUUCUUUUUGAAUUAGUUUACUUCACUUAUUUCUUAAAUGGCAAUCCAAAGAAGAAUUCAAGGAGCAUAUGGUAAAUUACAGAACUGCUACCACUCCUUUUUCUUCAUUUCGGGAUCAGGUAUUCAAAAUCAGACAUCAAUUGAGUGGACAUCACAAACAAAUCCAUCAUGAAGAAACAACAAAUCCACAAAUGAAAGAGAUGAAGAGAAGAACAAAGCCUGAAGAUAACCCUGUGUGUUUCAACACAAAAGGAACUUGAAAGAAGGAGUCAAGUUAAUUUAAAUGCAGUAUGUACAGUAGGUAUGAUCUGUAUUAUAGCAAAACUUGCUGUUUUGUUUCUUAAUUGCAGAAUAUUUGGUAAUCUGGCAUAUCCAUUUAUUUGCUUAUUCACUUGCAUAUUUUUGCAAUGAAGUUACUCUUAGCAUGAACAAAAAUAAAAAUAGCUGCCUCCUACUUGGUUUGUGAUAGUACCAGUCUUUGGAAUAAAUUAAGUAUGUGCUGAUCAAAAGGUGCAGCUAAGGUUUUCUGCUGUAGUUUGUUACAGGCAAUAACAAAGUACAGCCACUGAAAUAGGCUCUUUCAGGAGCCAAGAGAAAUGCUGUGAUACUUCUUGGAAUUCUGCAAGUUAACUAGGUGACAAAACAGCUUCCUUUGGGUCAUGGCUGCACUUUUAAGAGGAAUAUUAACUGAAGCACCAAUUUUAUCAGUUAGUGGAAAAUUCUACUUAUCUGCACUUGUAAGAAUUAACACCAAGACUCUGUCUUACCUGAAGUGCACCCUUUCUUCCAAAGAGAUUUUGAGAAGGCAUUUGAUACUUUCCUGUUAUUCAGAAAAGAUCUCUUUUUCCUUGAUAAAGAAGAUAAUAAUCUCUAGCAGCCCUCUGUCCAUGAGUUGACAUUACAAAAUAUUCUGAUAGCUUUUCUAAGAUUUAGAUAAUAUUAGAUAAGCUUGAGUACAUCUCUUUCUCUAAGUUUCUUGUAAGUAUGUACAUUUGGCUUGGGAUGUUUCCUCCUUUUGUUGUUGUUUAUGGCCAUACAUGUCUGUUACAUUGUCAGAAAACAUUUUUACAAUAGUUUAACUAGAGAGGUCACUUUCUUACUUUCACAGUUGUGUUACAUAAAUUAAUUCAAAUCAUCAAAGCUUUUCCCCCAAAGGCUUCUUUAUCCCAAUGUUUUCUAGGACUGUAACAAUUGUCUCUACUGAAUCUGGCUUUCCUCGUUUGAAGUUGUUAUUGCUCACAUGGAAAGAAAUAAAUAUAUGUUUUAGUAGCUCUCUGAAAUUAGUAUAAUAAAAAUAAAGCAAAAAUGGAGUUUGGGUUCAGCUAGUCAAAGGCCUAAUUGCUUGAAGUGAGCUAGAGCAUUUUUGUUAGUAAGUAGGGAGCAGACCAAUGUGCUGAUGAUGUGCCUUGCACAUAGGCAUCUGUCUUCUGGACUUUUUUAAAAUCAAGUAGUCAGUUAACAAAACUUAUCUCUGUUUCAAGUGGCAGAACUAUAAUAUUAGGCACUUUAAAUUGUUACAUCAUUACAACAGUUACUUGUGGAGUUACACUGGAGUAUGACAAUCCAAAUUUCAUCUGAGGUUAUAUUAGAAAUGUGACAUCUGCUGUAUGCAAUACAACUCUGUUUUGAAGGAAAAAUGAGCUUUUAUGGACUGGGUCUCUGGAGCUCUCCCUGGAAGAGGGAGAUUAAGAACUUGAACUUUUCAUACCUACUUCUGACUCAAGUUUUGCUUGACUUUUGUACAGCAAAACAAACUUAAUGUCAACACUGUUCAUUUCCUACAGUCCCCCUGAGGUGCAAACUCAUAAAACUGGCACUGGCCGUCGUCCCAGCUUGCAACUGUCCCAUAAUUCUUUCCACUAAAGGCCCUGUCCCAACAGCAGAACAGGAUCUGUUGGGAAUCACAGCCAGCUCGGUGGUGUGUCCUGCUGCACAGAUGGAAUAGCUGAUGGCAGAAGGGUGUAAGAAUAACCCUGCUGUGCUGACUGUGACUGAGAGCACGGGCUGUGCUCUGCACGGAGCUCCAGAGUGCCAGAACAAGCUGCCUCAUUUUCUCUUUGUCCCACAAUUGCCUCUCGUUAUGCCCAGAUUAGCAGAUGCACAUGGGAAGUAUAUUUUAGAGUCUGUGGAUAUUGCAAAACUUCAAGGAAUUCCUUUAAACUGAGAAAUAUCUGCUGUCAGGAGGUUACCAGCAAAGUGUUGGUAGCAGGACCUGGAAAUCCAGCUGUGCUCCUGGCCGUGCUGUGGCACUUUUGUUUGCUUUCCUCCAGGAGGGGGCAGCAGCUGAACAACAUCAGGGGCUGGUUUUCACUUUUCAAAAGCUUUUCCAGUGGCCCCCUCUGCCUGUGAAUCCAGCAGGGGCUCCAUACCGAUGGGAGAGUUUAAAAUUAUAAUUCCUGCCUGUUUGCUACAAAGAUAGCUGGAAUGUACGAAUCGGAAGUCUUCAUUCUGUUCAGUAUUAAGCAGUAAAAUUUAUUCAGUAAAAUCUAUCUCAAGUUUUUAGAAAGAGCAGUUCAAUAUUGAUACUUAAGAUUUUAUGACUAUAGCAGUAGGUGUGUAUAUAUUUUAAAGGAUAAAAUAACCAAGCAACCCAACCCAUUAUUAAUGUCACCUAAGUCUUACUUAACAUCUUUCAUUUUCUAUCAGGUUGCAUAUUGCAAUUCAAAAUAAUAGCCUUUUUUCUCCCAUCAGAAAAUAAAACUAAGAAUACACUAAAUCUAAUGAUGGUUUUCAUUCGUGUGUAAUUAAUGUGCUCAUGUACUUUCUUUGCUCAUGCAUUUUGCUGACAGAGCAUGGGAGUUGAAGUCCUCAAUUCACAGGCAGUGCUAAUGAUGCUAAACAAUAUAGCCAAAUUUUACUGCCCUUUUUCAGCCACAAAGUGCAGGUUUAUAAUCUAAAACUUUCUGGAGGUGUACCAUAUUACUGAUUGGGAGUAUAGUGGGGUCUUUUUUAAAACUGUGGGGAAAAUGCUGAUUGUUACCCACCAUUGUGAAUUUCUUGAAAGUGUGUGGCUGUAAUUUCUGUUUAAGUUACAGAUCAAGUAGUUAACAAAAAGCCACAGAGAGCAGUCAAGCCUUUUCAGCUGCUAAGUUUUAUCCAGUAGUUUAUAUAAAGAAAGAAAAACCAUAGUGGCUUCUGUGAGUAUCAGCAGCUAUAAUCAGGGUUCAGAAGCUAACUGGGAAGGAUGAAACUAAUUCCUAACAGGACUGAUUCACUGAUAAACUUGCCUUGAUGCAUCUCAUUAAAAUUGUGUUGUAAUGCAUGUGGGAUCUUUAUGGAGCCUAAAACUUUAUCAUGUGACUUGACUUUUUUUUUCUUUUGUGGCGAUUUUUCCUUUUCAAAGAUUACAAGUGUUUAAGAGAAGAGGAGGAAAUAAUUGCAAAGAUUUUUUCAGAAUGGCACAACUUGGCUUUCAGAGUUGCCUUUCAUCUUAAAUCUCAGUGUUUAAAUCACAGAUUUUUCUAUACAGGCCCCAUGGUUCUACUGAUUUCACUGAUUUAGCACCUUAUAUGCAUCAAACACUUCAACAACUGCCCUGAGUAUUUAAGUUCCCUCAUGAAAGUUCAGGGCUUUAAUGCUUUGAGCAAUGUAACCUUUAUUUUUCUAGUUCAGGAAAGAUCCAUGCAAAUAACUGAGGAUUAAAUUCCCUUUUUUCAUCUUUUUGUUUUGAAUACUGUUGCAUAAAAUAACUCUAUGAUUCACUCUUGCUUUGUGUAGUAAUUAGCAGGAAGAUUUUUACCUGUAGAAGUCUUGAGUAUAGUAUAAAUUAAUUCCAUACUAUUUUAAAAUACUUCAUUUUCUGAGUGUCUGGACUUGAAUUGCCUUCACAAAUAUGUAAUUAAAUUAGCUCUGAUUUCCUUAUAGAGUGUUUAAAGAAUGAGUUACCCUGUUUAUUGCAUCGAUAGAUGAAUGUAUUACAUAGUUUUGGGAAUAGUAUUUACUCAGUUAUUAAUUAUUUACAGUGUGUAUUGAAAGGACAUUGUUUCCUUUUGCUUGAAAGGUCAAUAAUCUGGAUAGAUGUGUAUGCACUUUUAAAACCUGCUAUUGGUUUUCACAGGAAACGGAUUUUUAAACUUCUAUGCUUGUAUUUCUCUCUUUGAAAUUAUUGUGUCUUAAAGAUGUGACUUUAAAGCAUUAAAGACUCGUGCUUGAAUUUGUGAACA